CCCUGACAGUUACAUUCCCGUAACUGACUAACCCAAGACAGGAGAUUAACAUG
rnacentral:sRNA from 12 species